rnacentral:tRNA from 1 species
GCAUUGGUGGUUCAGUGUAGAAUUCUCACCUCACAAGCAGAGACCUGGGUUUAAUUCCUGGCCAAUGUG